CCGCCCAUUUUUCCAGUUUGAAAAUUUGCCCAUUCGCUCUCUCACAAAUCCAAGCUUCCUCUUCUUCUACUUUCAGAGACCCCCCUCCACUUUACGCUGUCAAACGAAAACGCUCCAAAACCCUAAUUCUGCUCCAGUUUGUAUCGUGAAAUGGCUGAAGCAAGAGAUAGACUGUCAAGGCCGCCUGUUGAUCUCGCAGACACCUAUGCUCAAUGGCUAUCGCGCAAUCGCAGUAUAUACAUAGAUCCGCCAGAGCAGGUUCUUCAGGUUGUUCCAGACUUGUCGAGAACGCCAGCGAGACAGAGAGCCCCAACAGCA